CGGGACACGUGGUAUCCUGUCUGAAUAUGGGGGGACCAUCCUCCAAGGCUAAAUACUCCUGACUGACCGAUAGUGAACCAGUACCGUGAGGGAAAGGCGAAAAGAACCCCGGCGAGGGGAGUGAAAAAGAACCUGAAACCGUGUACGUACAAGCAGUGGGAGCACGCUUCGGCGUGUGACUGCGUACCUUUUGUAUAAUGGGUCAGCGACUUAUAUUCUGUAGCAAGGUUAACCGAAUAGGGGAGCCGAAGGGAAACCGAGUCUUAACUGGGCGUUAAGUUGCAGGGUAUAGACCCGAAACCCGGUGAUCUAGCCAUGGGCAGGUUGAAGGUUGGGUAACACUAACUGGAGGACCGAACCGACUAAUGUUGAAAAAUUAGCGGAUGACUUGUGGCUGGGGGUGAAAGGCCAAUCAAACCGGGAGAUAGCUGGUUCUCCCCGAAAGCUAUUUAGGUAGCGCCUCGUGAAUUCAUCUCCGGGGGUAGAGCACUGUUUCGGCAAGGGGGUCAUCCCGACUUACCAACCCGAUGCAAACUGCGAAUACCGGAGAAUGUUAUCACGGGAGACACACGGCGGGUGCUAACGUCCGUCGUGAAGAGGGAAACAACCCAGACCGCCAGCUAAGGUCCCAAAGUCAUGGUUAAGUGGGAAACGAUGUGGGAAGGCCCAGACAGCCAGGAUGUUGGCUUAGAAGCAGCCAUCAUUUAAAGAAAGCGUAAUAGCUCACUGGUCGAGUCGGCCUGCGCGGAAGAUGUAACGGGGCUAAACCAUGCACCGAAGCUGCGGCAGCGACACUAUGUGUUGUUGGGUAGGGGAGCGUUCUGUAAGCCUGUGAAGGUGUACUGUGAGGUAUGCUGGAGGUAUCAGAAGUGCGAAUGCUGACAUAAGUAACGAUAAAGCGGGUGAAAAGCCCGCUCGCCGGAAGACCAAGGGUUCCUGUCCAACGUUAAUCGGGGCAGGGUGAGUCGACCCCUAAGGCGAGGCCGAAA
rnacentral:rRNA from 1 species